AGGCCAUCUGGGUGUAUACGUGCAAGUCACAAGGGAUGCGAUGGCUUGGCUUGGGCUCAGAGGCCUGACACUGGAAUGGCAUGCUUGCGAUCAGCUGGACCUUCUGAAACACAUUAAUGAUCUAAAAAUGAAGCUAAAGGAACAUAUUCUGAAGUCUGGAAAUGUGGAACCUGCUGAUUUUCUAGAGGAAAACUCAAAACCUGUAGAUAUCUGUUGACUGUUUAAGAGCUUUCACAUCAAAAUAAGAGUCGAUGUGGCAUUCUAGGAAAUAAUUUUAACAGAGUGUUUUGUUUGGCUUUCUAUUAUUUGGCAAAAAAAUCAUUUUAUGUGAAAAUUAUAGGCCAAGAUGGAUUCUCUGAUGCUUUUGUGCUGUACCAGUCUACAACUAGUUGGUAUCAUGAUGCUCUAGGUGUUGUUUCACAGUCCUUUAGCAAAUGUUCUAACAUCUACACUCCUCCUUCCCUGCCCACAUUCAUUUGGGCCACUUCAGCUGAUCACCUAGCAGCUGUUUCAGCAUCCUGCUGUCAUUCAUCCUCUACAUGUAUCCAGCCCAGUGGAACUACAUUAAAGUGAGCAGGACUUCACUGCAGGAAGAUUGGCUGCCUGCCAGGACUUCAUUAUUAGUGAUCUUUCUUACUGCUCAUGUUUCAUAGCCUCUUGGGUAACACUGAAUCAGGUUUUUAAGAACUAGAUGGAGAGUUGUGGCAAGCCCACAUUUCACUGCCUCCACUCUGUAGAUGCCAAGCUUGACUGGUGACAAGUAUGUCCCCUGAACAAAGCAAAUGUAUGUGCAGAUAACGUGGUAUUUCAAUUUCUGUGCACUAAGAUGAUUUGGCAAGAGUGAUGGUGACUGCACCUGUUUAGCAGAAGAAAAAUGUCUCAUCACAACCCCAAAUAACAUUAUGUUAUGCUAUUAUGACAUCAAGGAUCUAAAAAUGAAGCUAAAGGAACAUCGAGGAUGUUAUAAUAGCAUAUUGGUAUAGAAUAUUGGUACCUACUUUCUCCAUAUCAACCAAACAUCUAUUUUCUAAUCCCUCUUUUUAACAACCAAGAUAUGUGCAUUUUAGUAUGACAAUGCCUUUAUUUUAUUUAAUAAUUUCAACUCACCAGCAAAAUUAGAAAAAAAACUCUGAAGAAUAUGAAAUUAAACAGAAAUAUAUGUGGAAUUCAUGUCUUAUUUUUCAAACAAAUGAAAAUGAGUAUCAAAAAAGCAGAAAAAAGAAGCUUUGAAGUGCUUUCCUUCCUUGAUUUUGGCCCAGCAGGAAAUAAAGAUUCAUAAAUGGAGAUUAUGAUCUCGUUUUAUAAUCCAGCUUGCCAAAUCAUCUCCUAGAAGAUUGCAUCAGCCAAUAGAUUUUGAAUAAUGUUAAAUAUGAAAAAUACUUUAGCAUUAUUAACUCUAAUGUUUUCAUAUUUCAAAUGAGAAAACAAGUCAAGCAGCGUAUUAAAUGUCACACAGUUAACAGCAG
rnacentral:lncRNA from 1 species